rnacentral:rRNA from 1 species
UACGAAGAGGGCUAGCGUUGCUCGGAAUCACUGGGCGUAAAGGGUGCGUAGGCGGGUCUUAAGUCAGGGGUGAAAUCCUGGAGCUCAACUCCAGAACUGCCUUUGAUACUGAGGAUCUUGAGUUCGGGGAGAGGUGAGUGGAACUGCGAGUGUAGAGGUGAAAUUCGUAGAUAUUCGCAAGAACACCAGUGGCGAAGGCGCUCACUGGCCCGAGUACUGACGCUGAGGCACGAAAGCGUGGGGAGCAAAGCAGGG